CCAGAAUGCCCUGCCCCAGUACAGGUCAACCAUGGGGUGGGGGGUAAAUAAGAAUCCCCCAGAAUGCCCUGCCCCAGUAGAGGUCAGCUAUGGGGUGGGGGGUAAAUAAGAAUCCCCCAGAAUGCCCUGCCCCAGUACAGGUCAGCUAUGGGGUGGAGGUUAAUGGGGUUUCCCCAGAAUGCCC